rnacentral:rRNA from 1 species
GGGGAUCGAAAGACCUUGCGCUUUUGGAGCGGCCGAUGUCUGAUUAGCUAGUUGGUGGGGUAAGGGCCUACCAAGGCGACGAUCAGUAGUUGGUCUGAGAGGACGACCAGCCACACUGGGACUGAGACACGGCCCAGACUCCUACGGGAGGCAGCAGUGGGGAAUUUUGGACAAUGGGCGCAAGCCUGAUCCAGCAAUGCCGCGUGAGUGAAGAAGGCCUUCGGGUUGUAAAGCUCUUUCAGUCGAGAAGAAAAGGCUGCAGUGAAUAACUGUAGUUUAUGACGGUAUCGACAGAAGAAGCACCGGCUAACUACGUGCCAGCAGCCGCGGUAAUACGUAGGGUGCGAGCGUUAAUCGGAAUUA